rnacentral:rRNA from 1 species
UACAGAGGGGGCAAGCGUUAUUCGGAAUUAUUGGGCGUAAAGGGCGCGUAGGCGGCUUGGCAAGUGGAUGGUGAAAUCCCUCGGCUUAACCGAGGAACUGCCGUCCAAACUGCUUUGCUUGAGGCCGGGAGAGGCGAGUGGAAUUCCCAGUGUAGCGGUGAAAUGCGUAGAUAUUGGGAGGAACACCAGUGGCGAAGGCGGCUCGCUGGACCGGUUCUGGCGCUGAUGCGCGAAAGCGUGGGGAGCAAACGGG